rnacentral:rRNA from 1 species
UACGUAGGUGGCUAGCGUUGUCCGGAUUUAUUGGGCGUAAAGAGCGUGUAGGCGGCCAGACAGGUCCGUUGUGAAAACUGGAGGCUUAACCUUCAGACGUCGAUGGAAACCGUCUGGCUAGAGUCCGGAAGAGGAGAGUGGAAUUCCUGGUGUAGCGGUGAAAUGCGCAGAUAUCAGGAAGAACACCCGUGGCUAAGGCGGCUCUCUAGUACGGUACUGACGCUGAGACGCGAAAGCGUGGGGAGCGAACAGG